CGCCAUUUAAAGUGGUACGCGAGCUGGGUUUAGAACGUCGUGAGACAGUUCGGUCCCUAUCUGCCGUGGGCGUUGGAAGAUUGAAGGGGGCUGCUCCUAGUACGAGAGGACCGGAGUGGACGAACCUCUGGUGUUCGGGUUGUGUCGCCAGACGCAUUGCCCGGUAGCUAAGUUCGGAAUUGAUAAGCGCUGAAAGCAUCUAAGCGCGAAGCGAGCCCUGAGAUGAGUCUUCCCUGAUACUUUAAGUAUCCUAAAGGGUUGUUCGAGACUAGAACGUUGAUAGGCAGGGUGUGUAAGCGUUGUGAGGCGUUGAGCUAACCUGUACUAAUUGCCCGUGAGGCUUAACCAU
rnacentral:rRNA from 1 species